rnacentral:rRNA from 1 species
AUGCGCGGCGGCCUUGGGCGACUGGAGGUUGUUGAGGAAGUAGCAGUGCCCCUCGCCGGGCGUCUCGUACAGCCGCGCCUGCCCGCCCCAGCCGCUGCCCCGGAGCGCGUCCACGUACGCGCGCUGCCACGGCCCCAGACCGUCCUGCCCCGACUUGGUCACCAGCACGCGCCCGGCGCCGAGCCGCCGCCACGCGUCCGCCGGCAGCGCCAUCGGGUCCACGUACGGGUGCUCCGUCCCGUACCGCCCCGCGCAGAUGAACCCCCACGAUCGCUCCGCCCACGGGCCCGCGUGCCCGCCCAGGAAGUACGGGUCCAGCAGCGCCACGCCCUUGAUCCGCCCUUUGCCGUCGUCCUGGCCCAGGCCCUGCUGCCCCACGCGCAUUGCGAGGUUGUGCGCGAUGUUGCCGCCGGCGCUGUCCCCGCCAACGAACAGCCGGGACAUGUCCCCGUGCUUGUAGAGCCAGGACGCGCCGUAGCCGGAACCGUUGCGAGCGUUGGAGAGCACCCAUUGGAGCGCCGUCCACGAGUCGUCGUAGGCGGCCGGGAGCGUGUGCUCCGGCGCGAGGCGGUAGUUCACCGACACGGCGAUGACGCCCGCCCUGGCCGCCAGCACGUUGAGGUAGUUGUGGUAGACGGGGCCGAAGGCCGACUCGACGACGAACGCGCCGCCGUGGAAGUAGAGGAGCACGGGGAGCCUGCCGCGGCGGCUCGGGCGGUAGAGCCUGACGGCGAGGCCCGUGCCCUGGUCGACGACGACGUCGGUGGAGGCGACGCCGGUGCGCGCGUCCACGGACGGCGGCACCACGCUGGUGCCCAUCAGCCGCUGCACCCGCCCGCUCUGGUACUGGAUGAGGAAGGGCGUGAAGUCGAACUUGACCGCGUCGCCGUUGGCGCGGCCGCGCAAUGCCGAGACCCCCUCCCCGAGAGCCGAGCAGAGCGCGAGGAGGAGGGAGACGAACAGAGCUCGCGUGGCCAUGAUGACUGGCUGGCUAGAGCACGGAGCGCGGAGGGAGGGGGACAGUGCGCGCGGCCGCGAGUGACGCGCACUGUGCCGCGGUACCCCGGUGCGGUGUGA